GAAUCUUGGACAAUGGGCGAAAGCCUGAUCCAGCCAUGCCGCGUGAGUGAAGAAGGCCUUAGGGUUGUAAAACUCUUUCGCCGGAGAAGAUAAUGACGGUAUCCGGAGAAGAAGCCCCGGCUAACUUCGUGCCAGCAGCCGCGGUAAUACGAAGGGGGCUAGCGUUGUUCGGAAUUACUGGGCGUAAAGCGCACGUAGGCGGGUUUGUAAGUAGGGGGUGAAAUCCCAGAGCUCAACUCUGGAACUGCCUUCUAGACUGCAAGCCUGGAGGUCAGGAGAGGCGAGUGGAAUACCGAGUGUAGAGGUGAAAUUCGUAGAUAUUCGGUGGAACACCAGUGGCGAAGGCGACUCGCUGGACUGAUACUGACGCUGAGGUGCGAAAGCGUGGGGAGCAAACAGG
rnacentral:rRNA from 1 species